GGGCGGCUAGCUCAGUUGGUUAGAGCAUCUGCUUUACACGCAGGGGGCCGGGGGUUCGAAUCCCUCGCCGCCCACCA
rnacentral:tRNA from 1 species